rnacentral:rRNA from 1 species
CACGGCAGCACGGGAGCAAUCCUGGUGGCGAGUGGCGAACGGGUGAGUAAUAUAUCGGAACGUGCCCAGUCGUGGGGGAUAACGCAGCGAAAGCUGUGCUAAUACCGCAUACGAUCUCUGGAUGAAAGCGGGGGACUCGUAAGAGCCUCGCGCGAUUGGAGCGGCCGAUAUCAGAUUAGCUAGUUGGUGGGGUAAAGGCCCACCAAGGCGACGAUCUGUAGCUGGUCUGAGAGGACGACCAGCCACACUGGAACUGAGACACGGUCCAGACUCCUACGGGAGGCAGCAGUGGGGAAUUUUGGACAAUGGGCGCAAGCCUGAUCCAGCAAUGCCGCGUGCAGGAUGAAGGCCUUCGGGUUGUAAACUGCUUUUGUACGGAACGAAAAGGUCUGCCUUAAUACGGUGGGCCCAUGACGGUACCGUAAGAAUAAGCACCGGCUAACUACGUGCCAGCAGCCGCGGUAAUACGUAGGGUGCGAGCGUUAAUCGGAAUUACUGGGCGUAAAGCGUGCGCAGGCGGUUAUAUAAGACAGAUGUGAAAUCCCCGGGCUCAACCUGGGACCUGCAUUUGUGACUGUAUAGCUAGAGUACGGUAGAAGGGGGGGAUGGAAUUCCGCGUGUAGCAGUGAAAUGCGUAGAUAUGCGGAGGAACACCGAUGGCGAAGGCAAUCCCCUGGACCUGUACUGACGCUCAUGCACGAAAGCGUGGGGAGCAAACAGGAUUAGAUACCCUGGUAGUCCACGCCCUAAACGAUG